rnacentral:piRNA from 1 species
UAACUGUUUGCUUGACUUGUCAUCCAGUA